rnacentral:tRNA from 1 species
GUCUGUAUAGCUCAAUGGUAGAGCAUCUCACUUCUAAUGAGUCGAUCUAAGUUCGAUUCUUAGUACAGAUUCCACAC